GACGUAGGGCGCGAGCGUUGUCCGGAUUUAUUGGGCGUAAAGAGCUCGUAGGCGGCUUGUCGUGUCGUCUGUGAAAUCCCGCGGCUCAACUGCGGGUGUGCAGGCGAUACGGGCAGGCUAGAGUUCGGUAGGGGAGACUGGAAUUCCUGGUGUAGCGGUGAAAUGCGCAGAUAUCAGGAGGAACACCAAUGGCGAAGGCAGCUCGCUGGGACGGUACUGACGCUGAGACGCGAAAGCGUGGGGAGCAAACAGG
rnacentral:rRNA from 1 species